AGCAGUAGAAACUUAUUUUAUGAGACAGAACAUGUGGAGCUAACUAUAUAUAUUUAAUUCUGUAUACUGCAGAAGAUGGUGGCUUGGUAACAUGUUAAAUAUAAGUUGGGGACUGGGAUUUUGCUUAGAGAAAGAAAUCAUCUGUAAUACUCAGUAAAAACCAUCUGCCAAGGCAUCAGAACUCACACAUGGAGGAAUAAAAUCCUCAAAUAAACCACUGCAGAAGGAAACGGCUUCAGGGACCCUUCUACUUCAGGAUCCCAUCUGGCACACUCCUUCUUUCAGCUUAUAUGGCUUCAAGAGCCUUGGACCUGCUUAGCACUGUCAGAGAAGCCUCAAGCAUCAUCAGCAGCAAACAUCAGAAGUAAAGCAACAGAAAAAAAAUUGUCAGCACUGUUCCAAUGGGCUUCUUCCACAACCAAGCAUGCUGACUACACAGGAAGCACUUGACUCAGAACUUAAAUAUUACCAUGAUGACUUCAGCAGGGAAAAAUGAGAUUAAUUUGAGUUCCAUGUCAUUAUUUUUCGGUCCUCUAUGACCACCCAGAUGUUUGAAAUUGAUCAUCACUGACAGUUUCAACAUUUGGUCUAGCAAUUCCUUAGAAAUCCAAGGUAUGCUGACAAAAUCUAGUUUCCUGAAU
rnacentral:lncRNA from 1 species